GCUAUCGUGAGGUAGUGGCUGAAGGAAGCUGGACGCAAACUCCUGAACUGACGAACAGAAAUUAGAUAGAAGGCUGAAUUA
rfam:Virgibacillus pantothenticus strain DSM 26 super13, whole genome shotgun sequence.